rnacentral:rRNA from 1 species
UACAGAGACUGCAAGCGUUAUUCGGAUUCACUGGGCGUAAAGGGUGCGCAGGCGGCCAUGUGUGUCAGGUGUGAAAGCCCGAGGCUCAACCUCGGAAUUGCGCCUGAAACUCAUGGCUAGAGUACUGGAGAGGUAGCGGAAUUCAUGGUGUAGCAGUGAAAUGCGUAGAUAUCAGGAGGACACCGAUGGCGAAGGAGGUCUCUGGGCAUUUAACUGACGUGAGGAGCGAAAGCUGGGGAGCGAACAGG